rnacentral:rRNA from 1 species
AUUGAACGCUGGCGGCAGGCCUAACACAUGCAAGUCGAACGAGUGGCGGACGGGUGAGUAAUGUCUGGGAAACUGCCCGAUGGAGGGGGAUAACUACUGGAAACGGUAGCUAAUACCGCAUACCAUCGGAUGUUCCCAGAUGGGGUUAGCUGGUAGGUGGGGUAACGGCUCACCUAGGCGACGAUCCCUAGCUGGUCUGAGCGGAUGACCAGCCCAACUGGAACUGAGACCCGGUCCAGACUCCUACGGGAGGCAGCAGUGGGGAACAUUGCACAAUGGGCGCAAGCCUGAUGCAGCCAUGCCGCGUGUAUGAAGAAGGCCUUCGGGUUGAAAAGUACUUUCAGCGAGGAGACGUUACUCGCAGAAGAAGCACCGGCUAACUCCGUGCCAGCAGCCGCGGUAAUUC